AGGGAAAUAGCUCAGUGUUAGAGUGCAUCUUGGCAUGCAUGAGGUCCUGGGUUCAAUUCCCAGUACCUCCC
rnacentral:tRNA from 1 species